UGUCGAAGGCUUUCAAACUUCAAAAUGUAAGAUGGAUAUAGAAGCUGGUUAAAUUUGCCAGAAAUAAUUAAAUUUCAAAAUUGAAAGGCAUCGGGGCAUCCCCGUUGUCAAAAAUUUCCUGCGGCAUAAAAUUAAUCCAUCAUAAAAUACUCGUUUUAUCGAAUUAGAAUUGGAACAUUCUAGUUGAUAAAUUAAAUAUGGUUUAUUGGAACAGUGUAAUUGAUAAAUUAAAUAUAAUUUUUUAUUGAAGAAAAUUGAGAAAACUCAUUACAUCUAAGAUUUACAUUAUAAUUACUGCAAAUCAAACUGCCUACUGAUUUGCUCAAAGUCAGAGAAGUUAUCCUUCUUUGUGUAGGUAUAUUAACUACAAUAUUUACAUAAAGAUUAAUUUCGAUUAUUAUCUCAUUAGUCCGGCGAUUAUAUACACAUUUUCUAUUUUCAGAAAAAGGCAAAAAGACAAAAAAAGAAAAUAAAAGAAUCAUCACCAAAAAUAUCAUCUUUAUGUAAAGAAUUUUUAACCACGGGUGUAAAAGGUCUGAAGUCUACAAGUUAUAAACGUUGGGCAAAACUUGCAAACGUAGUUGGAACUAUGGCAUGUGCUGAAUUUUGAGAUUUUCGUUGUAGAUAAAUCAUGUCACUUGAAUAAAUCAUCUUAUGACGUAAUAUAACAGAGAAAAACCAUAUAGAUUCUAGUUUGAUUAAAAUGAUAAUCGUUUUCAUUUUUUAUAGAUAGUCGUUUUCAUGUAGUAUUUUCAAUCUUAAAUGGUUAACACAAAAAGAUGGAUAACUUGAUAAAAAUGAUAAAUAAACUGUAUACAUAAAGCAAGACGUAAUAUACACUUUUUCAAUAUCUUUCUACAACAAUCUCUGUCUAACAAUCUUUGUAGCUUUAACUACUUAUAGUAAUAGAUAUGUUAUUGAUCAUGAAAUGCAUAUUGUAAGCUUAUAAUAUGUCUUCACCUUCCGCCAUAUUGAAUAUAUAUUAAUUCGUAACAUGAAUCGCCAAUUAAUUAAUCAGUUAACGAUUUGUGAAAGAAGAAAUUAUUGAUACUUUAUGUAACUGUCACCAUUACCAAAACACUAUACUUAUAUUAUGAAAGCUCGUGAUUAGUUUUCCUCUGUUCUCGGUGGUAUGACCAACACUGGAAGACCGCUGUGUAGGAUGACGUGUCUGCUUACACUUCCAAUAAGUACACGUGCAAUCUUUCCCAAACCACGUGAGCCCAUGAUAAUGAAAUUUACAUUUUCUUUAUUUGCUUGUUCACAUAUCACAAUGCCGGCUUCUCCCGUUUUGUAGAUUGUCUUGAAUCUCAGCUAUACAUCAAAGAAUUAAAAUAAUAAUACAAAAGUAGCAAGAGUUAAACAAGUUUACUAUUAUAACAUAAAUCUACAGUGUGCCAUUAAGAUAGCUUAGCUUUUGAUAUAAAACAAAAUUUUUAUUUGUGCUUUGAUUAAUUUUUUACCAUAUCAUCAUUUUAAAAAAGAAAUUUCGGUAAUAUAAAGUUUAAACAUGAACGAAGCCAAAGCUAUUUCCAUGUCCUUCGUGCAGUAAAAAUACUUGAUUCUUAUUCAGGAAACAAACGUUAGCCAAACAUAA